rnacentral:misc_RNA from 1 species
UCUGUUCGUUUGCGCGCCCGCGCGCGCAAGACAAUGAGCUUUGCUGCGGCAUAGCUUGAACGAAGCGACCCGGGAUCGUGCGCGCAUUGUUGAUACCCUCGAGAAUGCCGGAGCGGUCCCCGCCGAUCUGCGCGCAAUCGCAGAUCGACACACACACACAU